rnacentral:rRNA from 1 species
CCUACGGGAGGCAGCAGUGGGGAAUAUUGGGCAAUGGGCGCAAGCCUGACCCAGCAACGCCGCGUGAAGGAAGAAGGCUUUCGGGUUGUAAACUUCUUUUCUCAGGGACGAAGCAAGUGACGGUACCUGAGGAAUAAGCCACGGCUAACUACGUGCCAGCAGCCGCGGUAAUACGUAGGUGGCAAGCGUUAUCCGGAUUUACUGGGUGUAAAGGGCGUGUAGGCGGGAAAGCAAGUCAGAUGUGAAAACCAUGGGCUCAACCUGUGGCCUGCAUUUGAAACUGUUUUUCUUGAGUACUGGGGAGGCAGACGGAAUUCCUAGUGUAGCGGUGAAAUGCGUAGAUAUUAGGAGGAACACCAGUGGCGAAGGCGGUCUGCUGGACAGCAACUGACGCUGAGGCGCGAAAGCGUGGGGAGCAAACAGGAUUAGAUACCCCAGUAGUG